GCAUUUCGCUCGCCCUUUAAUUGGGGGCUUGUAUGAAUGGACUUACGCGGGCUCGACUGUCUCACCAAGACCAAUUAAAAAUUAUCCUCCAGGUGAAAAGACCUUGAUAAAAUAGUAAGACAAAAAGACCCUACAGAGCUUUAUCCCCCGGCUUACCUUACCCCCUACCCCCUAGACCCCUCCCCCAAAGCCCAAGAUUUGGUUGGGGCGACAAAGGACCACCUAUAACGUCCUUCCUUAAAACGACCUCCCGUCUCCAAACGACUCAUCAGACCCCUUGUUUAAGAGGCUUUAGCUACCUUAGGGAUAACAGACUAAUAUCCCCUCGAGAGCCCGAAUCGACAGGGGAGCUUGGCACCUCGAUGUUGGCUUAGGGAACCCAGUUUGGUGCAGGAGCUACACUGGGUGGUUUGUUCAACCAAUAACCCCCU
rnacentral:rRNA from 1 species